AAAAUAAACCAACUGUACAUUAUUCAUUUUGAGAAAAACAGAGCCAACUAUCUAAAACUUGAAAGUGGGGAUUGGGGCUUUUUUUUAAAAAAAAGACAAAUUGAAACCACCAAAGUACUACAAAUAUCACAAACCUCUACUAAUAAUAUAUAACCCUAUCUCCACACCUGGUCAUUCCUUUACCUUUCCCCUCUAAAUAUAUAAAUAUAAGAGCCAACAGCAGAAACCCAAUUCUCACAUGCUGCACACCUUGCCUUUUUGGUGCUCCCUCUGGAAUUGGCUUUUAUUGAGUAGAAGAAAUAUCAAAUCUUCAGCCAAAAGUAUCAAUUUUUUCCUUUCUUCACUUUAGAGAAGUUUGGACAAAAAGCUUUUUAUCACCUAUGUCAUUACUGUAUGUCUG
rnacentral:misc_RNA from 1 species